GAUGAACGCUAGCGGGAGGCUUAACACAUGCAAGUCGAGGGGCAGCAUAAGGGUAGCAAUACUCUGAUGGCGACCGGCAGACGGGUGAGUAACGCGUAUGUAACCUACCCCAUACAGAGGGAUAACCCGGAGAAAUUCGGACUAAUAUCUCAUAAAACCACAGAUGGGCAUCCAUUAAUGGUUAAAGUUCCGGCGGUAUGGGCUGGGCAUGCGUAACAUUAGCUAGUUGGUAGGGUAACGGCCUACCAAGGCUUCGAUGUUUAGGGGUCCUGAGAGGGUGGUCCCCCAACUGGUACUGAGACACGGACCAGACUCCUACGGGAGCAGCAGUGAGGAAUAUUGGUCAAUGGGCCAAGCCUGAACCAGCCAUCCCGCGUGCAGGAAGACGGCCCUAUGGGUUGUAAACUGCUUUUCCAGGGGACGAAUAGUUUCUACGUGUAGAGACCUGACGUACCUUGGGAAUAAGCAUCGGCUAACUCCGUGCCAGCAGCCGACGGUAAAAGUACUCU
rnacentral:rRNA from 1 species